rnacentral:rRNA from 1 species
GGUGUAGGCGGUCUUUCAAGUCGGAUGUAAAAUCUCCUGGCUUAACUGGGAGGGAAUAUUCGAUACUGCUAGACUAGAGUGCAGCAGAGGGAGGCGGAAUUCCCGGUGUAGUGGUGAAAUGCGUAGAUAUCGGGAAGAACACCAGUGGCGAAGGCGGCCUUCUGGGCUGUUACUGACGCUGAGACCCGAAAGCGUGGGGAGCGAACAGGAUUAGAUACCCUGGUAGUCC